rnacentral:rRNA from 1 species
GACGAACGCUGGCGGCGUGCUUAACACAUGCAAGUCGAGCGGUAAGGCCCUUUCGGGGGUACGACGAGCGGCGAACGGGUGAGUAACACGUGGGUGACCUGCCCUCAGCUCUGGGAUAAGCCUGGGAAACCGGGUCUAUACUGGAUAUGACUCCAUGACGCAUGUUGUGGGGUGGAAAGCCUUGUGCGGCUGAGGAUGGGCCCGCGGCCUAUCAGCUUGUUGGUGGGGUGANGGCCUACCAAGGCGACGACGGGUAGCCGGCCUGAGAGGGCGACCGGCCACACUGGGAC